GUCUCACCGCUAGGGCCUGGGCAUCACAGGCAGGGGGAAUGGGGAGGGGACGGUAGCGUCAGCCUACACCCACACGCAGUUUCCUGAUAAAAGGUCCUUUGGAAACUUUGAUUCUCUUCUCACCAAGUUGAACGGAGAUGUGUUCCCAUAGUAAGAGUGAGGCCCCUGCAUUUGCUGCCCUCGGUUUUCCCAACUAACACCAGGGCCUCCCCCCUGUACCCCAUUCAUAUGCCUCAGAAGCUGACAAUGACUGUUGGGCUUUUCCAAUGAAUACCAGAACACCAUUUCCUGCAGCCUGAAAAGAAGACAGUAUAAUUGUUUGGCAGCAAGAGACAGGAUCUCGCUGCGUUGCUCAGACUGGUCUCGAACUCCUGGGCUUAAGGGAUUCUCCUGCCUCAAUCACAGCCUCCCAAGUAGCUGAGAUUAAAAGUGCUCACCACCGUGCCAGCGAGUUCAGUUUUUGAGUGUCCUCCGACACUGACUCUGUGCUUGGCCCUGUGACUUGCUUUGGCCAAUGGUACAGCAGCAAACUUGAUGCAAACACAACUUGAAAAAGAAGAGGACAGCCAAGUCAUCCCAGCCAAGGCCACCCUGGACCAGCCAGCCUCUUGCCAAGCUGCCAGUGACCACAGAGUCCAAUUAACAACAGCCAGUCCUGGCCCAGGCCAAGCUCAUAUGCCAAUUUCCUCAUGGAACCUUUCACUCCUCCAUCUCUUCGCCAAGUUGAAAUGUUAACUUCUGCUUCUCUGGGAUACUUCGGACCUUUGUUUAAAGCUCUCCCAUCUGCUUUCUGCGCUAUGUUUAGGGUUAUGUCUGGAUGGGAAUAGGUCUGUCUCUUGCCACUACUGGUAAAAUUGGUUCUUGCUUAGCAUGAUGUGGGCUCCCCACAUCUGGCACAGUGACUUGCGCAGGGUGGAGCCAAGACUCUGAGGAGAGGGCUGAACUGUGAACCUAGAAGUACCAUCUCCCCCUGCACACACCUUUGGUCAAGUUGACCCCAAGAAGAAGGACAAGUCCUCUGCACGGCGAUGAGGCCAUACACACAGUCUGUGGCCCGGCUUUGGGAGACUGAUGGGACAAAGGAUGUUUUGCACGAUCCUUGGUCUCUGAGCAAAUAUAUACAUGGGUUAACACAAA
rnacentral:lncRNA from 1 species